rnacentral:rRNA from 1 species
GACGAACGCUGGCGGCGUGCUUAACACAUGCAAGUCGAACGAUGAAGCCCAGCUUGCUGGGUGUACGAGUGGCGAACGGGUGAGUAACACGUGAGUAACCUGCCCUGAACUCUGGGAUAAGCACUGGAAACGGUGUCUAAUACUGGAUACGACCUAUCACCGCAUGGUGUGUGGGUGGAAAGAUUUAUCGGUUCUGGAUGGACUCGCGGCCUAUCAGCUAGAUGGUGAGGUAAUGGCUCACCAUGGCGACGACGGGUAGCCGGCCUGAGAGGGUGACCGGCCACACUGGGACUGAGACACGGCCCAGACUCCUACGGGAGGCAGCAGUGGGGAAUAUUGCACAAUGGGCGCAAGCCUGAUGCAGCAACGCCGCGUGAGGGAUGACGGCCUUCGGGUUGUAAACCUCUUUUAGUAGGGAAGAAGCGAAAGUGACGGUACCUGCAGAAAAAGCACCGGCUAACUACGUG